UCCCAGACUAAGCACUUGUACCACCACUUUGAUUUCAGGUCCCGCUCGACACCAACGAUGUUCGUGUCCCGCAGCGGAGGACGUAUCCUGGACUUCAUCGAGGAGGUGGACCUACCACCGGCCAGCGUUCGUGUCGUUGUCCUACACUGUGGGACUAACGACAUGCCGUUCGUUGAGCCCAAGUUGGCCAUCUCGCACUACCAGACACUUCUCGAAAGGAUCCGCGCCCGUGGAGGCAUUGAAAUGGCGGCGUAGGGAGUUUCAGUGUAACCCACGGGCACACGCCUUCAACCGCCAGCUGGUCCAGCUAUGCAGGAGGUCCCGGGACCUUUUCUACCUCGACCAUGGCUUCUACCGACGACGUCCAACCCAGGUGCUUGCGGCGGAUGGCCUUCACCCAAACUUCGAAGGAGUGCGGAUGAUGAGCCGCCACCUCCAGGACCUGAUCCCACACCUGCUUCGACAACUUCCACCAUGCAGAGCUGACGCCCCGGUCAUCCCGGAUCCAGUGUGGCCCACCCCACAAGAGGCAGCCAUGCUGCGACGAAGACACUCCGAACGGACAUCGAGGGCACGUAAACAGGACUGACUAACCGCCGCCUGAUCAAGGUCCCCACUGACCCACAAGGACGAUGACCCCACUCCUGGACCUGACACAGAAACGCUCUGGAAUUUCCCCAAUUGACAACCGCCAGGUGGCGGGAAUUUCCCCCAACCGACCACGUCAUUCUCAAGCCCCUUAUCAGCCUCGUGGCCACAUUUAGCUCUUUUGUCCCGAAGAAGGCGGAGCUUCCGCCGUAACGUAGACAUCCUCCCUAACUUUUAUGAUUUUUAAGUUUUAGUAAACCCCUUUUUUGUUACUUCCCCUACUUUCGUCUUCUGUCUCCCAUUUAUUUCAACUAUAAUUACGUAGCCGUCCGAUCCAACUCCAACUUUUCAAGAUAUUAUUCUACGAUGGCUGCUAGGACAGACAGGCCGAAGAUAGUCAGGAAGUAUCCAUUUUAUGCUCCCACAGUUGCUGUUCUCGGCGACUCCCAGACUAAGCACUUGUACCACCACUUUGAUUUCAGGUCCCGCUCGACACCAACGAUGUUCGUGUCCCGCAGCGGAGGACGUAUCCUGGACUUCAUCGAGGAGGUGGACCUACCACCGGCCAGCGUUCGUGUCGUUGUCCUACACUGUGGGACUAACGACAUGCCGUUCGUUGAGCCCAAGUUGGCCAUCUCGCACUACCAGACACUUCUCGAAAGGAUCCGCGCCCGUGGAGGCAUUGAAAUGGCGGCGUAGGGAGUUUCAGUGUAACCCACGGGCACACGCCUUCAACCGCCAGCUGGUCCAGCUAUGCAGGAGGUCCCGGGACCUUUUCUACCUCGACCAUGGCUUCUACCGACGACGUCCAACCCAGGUGCUUGCGGCGGAUGGCCUUCACCCAAACUUCGAAGGAGUGCGGAUGAUGAGCCGCCACCUCCAGGACCUGAUCCCACACCUGCUUCGACAACUUCCACCACGCAGAGCUGACGCCCCGGUCAUCCCGGAUCCAGUGUGGCCCACCCCACAAGAGGCAGCCAUGCUGCGACGAAGACACUCCGAACGGACAUCGAGGGCACGUAAACAGGACUGACUAACCGCCGGUGAGCGUACCUUUUCUAAUCCAAAUGAGCCAUGCCCGAGUACAAAAGCAUUUUUCAAAAUCCGACAAUUAAACGACAAAUAUAUACGCUACAAUUCCCACCGUACCGCACUGCAAGUCUAUAGCGAUCAUAACAAAAUUCCUAAAGGACUCGCGAUUAAGCUCCAGCCAACCUUCCCUCUGAACCACACCCUUCAAAAGAAAUGGAAUGAAACCCUUAGCAACGCCU